rnacentral:lncRNA from 1 species
CUUGGUGUGCAGUCUAUUUUGGCUGCAAACGAGAAACGUGAGGAGAAGGUAGCUGUUGAGAAGGCGAAGCUUGUGGAUGCGUUUUCGUCUGACCCUAAGGGUGCUGGUGCCGAGGCUAUUAGAUCCGGUAAGCAUGUAGAGGUGGUUUUGCCGAAGCUUCGGUUUUUUGAUUGCCGACGGGCUUCGGCGUCAUUUUUGAAGGAUUUGGAGGCUACUAUGGGGGACAUCGGCGAGGUUAGCUGUGAGGAUCAUGUAAGGCUGAAAGUUAAAUGUUAUGAUGUAGGUGAGAGAUUGCCGGCUGGUCUGCAAGGGCUUAAUGAAGGCCUGGGCUUGAGCGGGCGCACGGAGGUUCUAGCGACGUGCGCCGAAGGUAGGGUCUAUAAUCCACAUAAUCUAAUUUUGGACUAGGGAAAGGGAGGUGAGGAUUGCAAGCGCUGUGCAGAUGACGGUGGUUCAAGGAGGGUGGAGUGAACAAGAGCGACGGCUUCGGGUAAAGAGAUUGUUCCGAUCGCCGUUGAGGCGCGGGGGUACGAAGGUAAUGUCUUUUUGGGAGUGAUCAUUGUUUGUGGACUUUGUUGCUAUUGUGGUGUUCUUAUAAUUGUAUGCUUGACCCACAGGUUUUCAGCAAUCUGUAAGGUCUAUGAGCUCGGAGGAGCUUUUGAGCUUGGAGGCUAACCUCGUAAAGAAGGUAUGACUACUAGCUGAUUUGUUGGUGCGUGCGAGGUUUAUUAUCUUUACUGUGUUUGCUGCGACUUGAUCUGAUGUUUUGUGUUUGGGCUUUGCAGAUGUCUUACUUGUCCAUGGUUACGAGGGAUAGGCUUG